AUGGCUCUGCGGUUCUUGGCGGUCCUGGGGUUUCUCUCCGCGGCGGCGGCGGCUGCGGUGCUGCGGCCUGAGCCGGAGGUGAAGCCAAGCGACACGGACGCGCUGGCCAUGUUCCGGCACGCUGCCGACGCGCACGGCAUCCUGGCCGGCAACUGGAGCACGCUCGACGCCUGCGCCGGCCGCUGGACCGGCGUGGGGUGCUCCUCCGACGGCCGCCGGGUCACCUCGCUCUCCCUCGGCUCGCUCGACCUGCGGGGCUCUCUCGACCCGCUCUCCCACCUCACCGAGCUCCGCGUGCUCGACCUCCGCGGGAACCGCCUCAACGGCACCCUCGACGGCCUCCUCCUCGGCGUCCCCAACCUCAAGCUCCUCUACCUCUCCCGCAACGACAUCUCCGGAGCCGUCCCGGAGGCCCUCGCGCGGCUCCUUCGCCUGGUCCGCCUUGACCUCGCCGACAACAGCCUGCGCGGGCCCAUCCCUGCCGCCGCGCUCGCCAACCUUACCGACCUCCUCACGCUAAGGCUCCAGGACAACCUCCUCACCGGUCUGCUCCCGGACCUCGCCACCGCCCUGCCCCGCCUCGCGGACUUCAACACCUCCAACAACCAGCUCUCCGGCAGGGUGCCCGACGCGGUGCGCGCCAAGUUCGGUCUCGCCUCGUUCGCCGGCAAUGCCGGCCUCUGCGGGACGGUGCCGCCGCUGCCGUCCUGUUCUUUCAUGCCGCGCGAGCCCGCCCCGACGUCGCCUUCCGCCCCUGCCUCGUCGUCGCAGUCCGUGGUGCCGUCCAACCCAGCUGCCUCCUCCUCGUCGUCGUCCGUUGCUUCGUCGUCACCGGCAUUGGCCACACCAGAGGGAGCCGCUGGCAAGGGGGGCUUGAGCACAGGCGCGAUUGCCGGGAUUGCCGUCGGCAAUGGCCUCUUCCUGUUCGCGCUGCUGUCGCUGCUGGUUGCGUAUUGCUGCUGUAGCACCGGCGGCGGCAGCGAGACAGCCAAGAAGAGGAAAAGAGGCGGCCGCGUCGGUCUGGAGGACGGAGACGGCGGGAUAUUCGGCCACGGCAAGGGCAUGCAGCCGGCUCGCCCAGGCAGCGCUGGCAGGUGCAGCGACGGCGGGGACAGCGACGGGGCACGCAGCAAGUUGGUAUUCUUCGGGGUCGACGGCGAAGGCGGUGGCAACGACGAAGCUGACGACGACGGGGGAAGCGACAGCAGCACCGGGCGGAGGGCAAGUGGUGGCUGGACAACGCAACAGCAGGGGAGGAGGAGCAAGUUCGAGCUCGAGGAGCUGCUUCGCGCGUCGGCGGAGAUGGUCGGUCGUGGUAGCCUCGGGACAGUGUACCGCGCGGCGCUGGGCGACGGCCGCAUGGUGGCCGUGAAGCGGCUGCGCGACGCCAACCCCUGCGCCCGCGACGAGUUCCACCGGUACAUGGACCUCAUCGGCCGCCUCCGCCACCCGAAUCUCGUCCCCCUCAGGGCCUUCUACUACGCCAAGCAGGAGAAGCUCCUCAUCUAUGACUACCUCCCCAACGGCAACCUCCAUGAUCGCCUCCACGGGCACCAGAUGACAGGGGAGACGCCAUUGGACUGGACGACGAGGGUGACGCUGCUGCUCGGCGUGGCGCGCGGGCUGGCCUGCAUCCACCGGGAGUACCGCGACUCCACCAUACCCCACGGCAACAUCAAGUCCACCAAUGUCCUGCUCGACAAGAACGGCGCCGCGUGCGUCACUGACUUCGGCCUAGCGCUGCUGCUCAGCCCGGCGCACGCCAUUGCCCGCCUCGGCGGGUACAUCGCGCCGGAGCAGUCGGGCGACCACAAGCGCCUCUCGCAGGAGGCAGACGUGUACAGCUUCGGCGUGCUCGUCCUAGAGGCGCUGACCGGCAAGGUGCCGGCGCAGCACCUGCAGCCGCUGCCGGACGCAGCCGGCAACAGCGCACAGAGGAAAGACAAGCAGGCGGCUGUGAGCCUCCCGGAGUGGGUGCGGUCGGUGGUGCGGGAGGAGUGGACGGCGGAGGUGUUCGACGCGGAGCUGCUCCGGUACAAGAACAUCGAGGAGGAGAUGGUGGCGCUGCUGCACAUCGCGCUGGCGUGCGUGGCGCAGCUGCCGGAGCAGAGGCCCUCCAUGGCCGACGUGGUGAGGAUGAUCGAGAGCGUCCCCGUGGACCAGUCGCCGCUCCCGGAGGAGGAUGUAUCGAUGUCGCCCUCCAUUGGCAUCACCACGGACGAUGGUCUCAGCUACUAG
rnacentral:rRNA from 1 species